AAUAGAUACCCCGGUAGUCCACGCCGUAAACGAUGAGUGCUAAGUGUUAGAGGGUUUCCGCCCUUUAGUGCUGCAGCUAACGCAUUAAGCACUCCGCCUGGGGAGUACGGCCGCAAGGCUGAAACUCAAAGGAAUUGACGGGGGCCCGCACAAGCGGUGGAGCAUGUGGUUUAAUUCGAAGCAACGCGAAGAACCUUACCAGGUCUUGACAUCCUCUGACAACCCUAGAGAUAGGGCGUUCCCCUUCGGGGGACAGAGUGACAGGUGGUGCAUGGUUGUCGUCAGCUCGUGUCGUGAGAUGUUGGGUUAAGUCCCGCAACGAGCGCAACCCUUGAUCUUAGUUGCCAGCAUUCAGUUGGGCACUCUAAGGUGACUGCCGGUGACAAACCGGAGGAAGGUGGGGAUGACGUCAAAUCAUCAUGCCCCUUAUGACCUGGGCUACACACGUGCUACAAUGGAUGGUACAAAGAGCUGCGAACCCGCGAGGGUAAGCGAAUCUCAUAAAGCCAUUCUCAGUUCGGA
rnacentral:rRNA from 1 species